CGUCUCUGACCCCAUCUAAUCAACAAUUUAUUUUCCUUGCAUAUCAAAACUAGCAAGAGGAGAAAAUUCAGGCUGAACCUCAAGUACACAUGGGUUUGAAAAAAAACAGGGCAUACCCACCCUCCUUCUCAUACAGCCGCUAGAAGCCUAGAACCAGCCCUCCCCUACUCAACUACCCGUCAAUACUCCAACUAAGAGGAAGAAGAAAACUGACAGCAAUUCCCUGCACUUCAUAAACGUGAUUCACAGGCUCUCUAAGCAUAUCCUUCAACAGAAGAAGACUAUAACAGAAGAAGAUGACCACGCCAGAAAAACGGUGCGGCAACGGUUGGAGGAACGUGACGGCGUCGACGGCGGAGGUGGAAGACUAGGGUUUGAUGCUGCUGAGAGGUGGAAACCGUGUUUCUAUUUCUGAGGUGGAUGGAAACCGUGUUUCUUUUUUUUUUUUUUUUCAAAAAACCGUGUUUCUAAUUUUGUUUUUUGCAACCUCUCAUUUGGCAUGGGCUGAGCCCAUUUUGACAAAAAAAGAGAAAAAAACCUUAAACCGGCAGAAACUGAGAACCGGCCGGUUUUCACCGGUUCCCGUUCCGGCGGUCGAACCGGCCGGUCCGGUCCGGUUUUUAUAACCAUGCUGCUAAUGUCAAGUGGUUAAUGCUAAAAAUUCCUGGGAUGGAUAAAGUGUGUGGAUGUUGAGAGGCAUUGAGAAAAUCAAUAUUCAUAGUGAUAGUGGGGUCAGUAGUUAGCCGCCUCGGUCAAGUCAAAUGAGACUGCUUCUUUUUCUUCUUCAGAUCAAGCUAGAGCAUAGAGAAUCAAAAAUAAUAUAGCAAGUUUUGAAUCAGAUUUCUAGCACCCAGAUCAGACAGAUUGUAGAGACAAAGAAAGAGCAGCACUUGUUUCAAUUCAAUGACAUCUUCUUCUGGAGCUUCUCAAAUAAUAUGUGCUGUACUGGUUGCAUGUAUUACUGGUUGCAUACUGAUGUACUUUAGAGUUAAGAAGAAAGAAAUCAUCAAGACAGAAAUUGUCACAAAGGAUGAAGUGUCAAAGUCAAGGUCAAACAACAUUCCUCCAAUAAAGUAUGAUUUAUUUGUAAGCUUUCAUGGAAAGGACAUUCGUGACACUUUUCUUAGUCAUUUGAUUGAAGCUUUUGCUCGAAGAAAAAUAAACGCCUUCGUAGAUGAUAAACUUGAGACGGGAGAAGAUAUAUGGCUAUCACUUGUUGAAGCAAUUAAAGGAUCGUCCAUUUCAUUGAUCAUAUUCUCCGAAAAUUAUGCCUUUUCACAUUGGUGUUUGGAAGAACUCGUGAAAAUACUUGAGUGCAAAGAGAAAUAUGGACGGAUUGUUGUUCCUAUUUUCUAUAAUGUAGAACCUUCGAAUGUAAGACAUCAAAGGGGGAGUUAUGAAAAUGCAUUUACUGAACUUGAAAAGAGGUAUGAUUUUCCAAGGGUGCAAAUCUGGAGACAAGCAUUGACCUCAUUAGCUAAUUUAUCAGGAAUCACUUCAUUAAAAUAUCGGAAUGAUGCUGAUUUGCUUGAAGAAAUCAUCAAUCGUGUGUUGAUGAGUAUGCCUAAGUAUCCGGUUAACAGAAAAAGACUUAUUGGAAUGGAAAAACCAAUUGCAGAUUUGGAAUCAUUGCUAUGGAAGGAGUCAACAAAGGCACACAUCAUCGGAAUUUGGGGUAUGGGCGGUAUUGGCAAGACAACUAUUGUAGAAGAGAUAUUUGGCAAAAAAUGUUUCGAGUAUGGAGGAUCUUGUUUUCUGUCAAAGGUAAAAGAUAAACUACAAAAAGAAGGAAUACAAUCUUUGAAAGAAAAACUCUUUUCAAAACUAUUAGCAGAAGAUGUGAAAAUUUACACCCCAAAUUUAUUGCCCAGUGAUAUUGAAAAAAGGAUUGGUCGGAUGAAGGUUCUUAUUGUUCUUGAUGAUGUGAAUGAUACAGAUCAGGUAGAAAAUAUAUUUGGAACGGUUGAUUGGCUUCACUCAGGUAGUAGAAUAAUAAUAACAACUAGAGAUAAGCAAGUACUUAUUUCUAACAAAGUCGAUGACAUAUACCAAAUUGGGGAAUUGAGUUAUAGUGAAGCACUUGAACUUUUCAAUUUGAGUGCAUUUAACCAAAUUCAUCUUGAACAAGAGUAUGAUGAUCUAUCACAAAGGGUGGUCAAUUAUGCCAAAGGAAUUCCAUUGGUUCUUAAAGUUUUGGGUCGUCUUCUUUGUGAAAAGGGCAAGGAAGUAUGGGAAAGUCAGCUAGACAAACUUAAAAAGAUAUCAAUUGAAAAAGUUCAUGAAGCAAUGAGAGUAAGCUAUGAUGAUCUUGAUCGCAGAGAGAAAAAUAUUCUUUUAGAUAUUGCGUGCUUCUUCAACGAUUCGAACAUGACCAUGAGCUCAUUAAUAAGUUUAUUGAAAUAUCAUGAAAAUGAUAAUUCGGUUGCUGUUGGUUUAGAAAGGCUUAAAGAUAGAGCUCUAGUGACUAUUUCUAAGGAUAAUUUUGUGUCCAUGCAUGAAAUUAUACAAGAAAUGGGUCGGGAGAUUGUUCGACAAGAAUCUGAGGACCCUGGACUACGCAGUCGACUAUGGGAUUCCGACGACAUUCGUGAUGUCUUGAAAAAUAACAAGGGGACUGAGGCUAUUAGAAGCAUAAUUAUGUACAAUUCAUCAAUUCAGAAUUUGAAGUUAAGCCGUUACGUAUUUGCUAAGAUGAGCAAACUACAAUUUUUGAAAAUUCAAGGGGGAGGUCGUGCAAAGCGGUUGGAUCUUUUUCUUCCAAGGUUUAAAGCUUGGCCACCUAAUCUAAAAUAUUUGUUCUGGUUCGAUUGCCCUCUAGGAUCAUUACCAACGUGUUUUUCUGCUGAAAGUCUUGUUAGAUUGGAGUUGCGAAGAGGCCGUAUGCAAAGAAUUUGGCACGGAGUAAUGAAUUUGGUUAAUUUAAAGAAAGUCUCCCUCGCUGAAUUCUCUUUCCUUGAGGAGCUGCCGGACUUUUCAAAGGCCCUAAAUCUUGAGUAUCUACAUGUUGUGGAUUGUGUGAAAUUGAAGAGUGUCCAUCCAUCUAUUUACUCUCUUAACAAGCUUCAGAAUUUCAUACUAAAAGGGUGUGUGUCCCUUGCAGAAUUUACAAGUGACACCCGUUUAAGCUCCUUAUGGCUUCUUGACCUUACAAGUUGUACGGGUCUAAGGAAGUUGUCAGUGUCAUUAGAGAAUAUAACAGACCUACAUUUGAGGAGAAUUCCUUCCAAUGUGUUUCCUUCAUCGUUUGUAUGUCAAAGCAAGCUAGAACUACUCGAUUUAAGAGAAACUCAAUAUGAGAGCUUACCUUCAAGCAUCAAAAAUCUUACCAGAUUGCAAGAACUUUACAUAAGUGAUUGUGCUUUACUUCAGUCAAUACCGGUGCUUCCCCCGUCCAUUCAAAUUCUUAUUGCUAGAGGGUGCAGAUCUCUAAAGACAGUAUUCUUCCCUUUAACGGCUGCCGAACAAUUCAAGGAAAACAGGCAAAAGGUUUCAUUCCGGAAUUGCAUGAACUUGGAUGGACGUUCACUCAGGGAUAUUGAGUUGAAUGCACAAAUAAACUUGAUGAAACUUACAUAUCUACAUUCAUCCACACUAGAACAUAAAGAUGAGUCUCCCUUUCAAGCAUGGUACGAGUAUCCAGGGUGGAGCGGUGUUCCAAAGUGGUUGCAGUUCAAGACAAGAAAUGAUGAAAUGAUUAUUGAUCUAUCUCCUGCUCGACUAUCCCCUUUGUUGGGUUUCAUUUUUUGCUUCAUCCUCGUUGCAAAGGACUCAUCAGAAUAUAGUGGGCCAAUUAAGUUUGAAAUCACGAUAAUUAAUGGUGAGGGUAAAAAGGGCUAUGUGAUGGAUUCAGAUAUUGCAACUGGUAAUCAGUGUUUGAUAUACGACAAAAAAUGUUCCCAAUACUUAACUGGCGCAGCAAAAAAUCAGACAAGGUUUAAAAUCAAGGUUGCAACACAUGCAGUAAAAUCCAAAAUGGCUCCAAUGAAGAACUUGAAGUUAAUAGAGUUUGGAGUCAGCCCUGUAAGCACCAUGAUUUAUCAAAGGUUUGUGGAGUCUUUGGGGUUAGCGGAAAACGAGUUGCAUUGAAGGCAAAUUGCAAGGGAUGGCGAUGUUAUCUCUGUGAGAUGUUAUCAGGAGUUCUUAAUUUUCUCUUGAAGUCCUCUGUUCAGGUUGCUAAGUUGUUGGCGUGGGAAGCGUCUGUUGUCGGAAGCUAGGUAACCCUGGUGGCAUAGAUGCUUAGGAGGGAUCACACUUAGAACUCUGUGGAUUACUUACUUUUGAUGUAGAAAGCAAAGCAAUAUGAUUCUUUCUUCUAUAAGCAGUCAGAAAAGCUUAUGACGAAAAAUAUGAUGGUAGAUAAGCACUAAAUAUGUGAUGUUGGCAGUGAAAAUGGGCCAUGGUAUAAAGUUGGAGCAGGUACCGGUUUGAUGAAUUCAAAGUUUAAACUCCGGGUGAAAAUUAUUAUUUUCAUGGCGAUCAAAGGACAAUUGCAUACAACUCUAACAAUUGGAGGCUGUUAAAACCCUCUUCUGGUUGUUGAAUUCUCUCUGGUACAAGUGCAGAGAUGGAAAUUGGGCAACAAAAGAACAAGGAUGGGGAAAUAAUUUAUAUUUCUAUUUGAUGUCCUGCUUGCCGCCACAUAAAGCCAAGUUGGUAUCUUUUGAAAAUGUGACUUUGUAUAUUGUAUUAGAAAUAGCUGCUGACUGACUUAAUUAGGUCCUUUGCCUCAUCUCUCACAGAUUGUGUUAAAUGGGUAGUAUGUACUUUCCUCCUUUGAGAUGAGUCUUGGGUUGACAGGAGGUUUGUGUUAUUGUGAUGAAAAUGUGAAAUUCAUGGACGACUUUGAAAUGUUAAUUCUGUAUUAACUAGAGUGGAAGAAACAGAAAAGUCUGUUGCGGUUUCA